rnacentral:rRNA from 1 species
GAGUUUGAUCCUGGCUCAGAACGAACGCUGGCGGCGUGCCUAACACAUGCAAGUCGAACGAGAAAGCGGGCUUCGGUCCGUGAGUAAAGUGGCAGACGGGUGAGUAACACGUGGGUAACCUGCCCGGAGGUGGGGGAUAACCCCCGGAAACGGGGGCUAAUACCGCAUGAUAUCUCUGAGGUUCCGGCCUUUGAGAUCAAAGCUAGCCUCUACAUGUAAGCUAGCGCCACCGGAGGGGCUCGCGGCCCAUUAGCUUGUUGGUGAGGUAACGGCUCACCAAGGCUCCGAUGGGUAGCCGGCCUGAGAGGGCGAUCGGCCACACUGGAACUGAGACACGGUCCAGACUCCUACGGGAGGCAGCAGUGAGGAAUCUUGCGCAAUGGGGGAAACCCUGACGCAGCGACGCCGCGUGGAGGACGAAGGCCUUCGGGUCGUAAACUCCUGUCAAGGGGGACGAAUGUCGUGGGGAUGAAUAAGCCCUACGAUUGACGGUACUUCUGGAGGAAGCCCCGGCUAACUCCGUGCCAGCAGCCGCGGUAAUACGGAGGGGGCCAGCGUUGUUCGGAAUUAUUGGGCGUAAAGGGCGCGCAGGCGGCUAGGCAAGUCGGANGUGAAAUCCCUCGGCUCAACCGAGGAACUGCCUCCGAUACUGCAU